rnacentral:lncRNA from 1 species
CUUGUUUUAUUUUUAAUUCUUUUUUUUUUCCCCAAGCUCUGGAUACCAUCUCCUCACCUCCAGGGAUGUCUCAGGAGCACGUGUGGACUCCGUGACAGGUAACUCUAGCACCACACGGCCGUUACUGAACAUUAUGGGAGGCGGUUACUUCCCUGCGAAGCCGCUGAGCACUGCGGCUGUGCCAGGUGGCUCAGAGGAGCUGCUCAUGUGGCACGACAAAUCAACCUGUUUUUACCUUUCUCACCAAGAAGUCAUCACCCUCACGAGAGCCACAAUGACUGCUUUCAAGAUGAGGCUGACUUUUGGCUAACAGGUGCAGAAGGUCCAGCAUUGUGCUCCCAUUCCAGUCAUUCUUCUGACGAGAUAAAUCAGAGCCCACUUCAUUUGGUGAAAAGAGGAUGAGGAGGGGGCAAGGGGAGGAUGGAAGGAUAAGGACGAAGUGAAAUGAGGCUCCACUACAAAUUGUAGUUUCUACCUUCAGGAUAGGCGAUAUGUAGAAUUACCUUAAAAACUUUUAUAUGUAAAUGAAUUGAAUUGUAUCAGAUGGGUUUUGUUUGUUUGGCUGGGAGAAUUUAAGAACGCAAAUGACUGAAUAGAUUUCUUUCCAUUUCUAAA